rnacentral:rRNA from 1 species
CAUCAUGGCCAUGUCAGUCGACGGCAGCUUUGAGUGAGGUUGCUUUUCCUGCCGGCGAGUGGCGAAAGGGUGAGUAAUACAUCGGAACGUGCCCUGGAGUGGGGGAUAACUAGUCGAAAGAUUAGCUAAUACCGCAUACGACCUGAGGGUGAAAGUGGGGGACCGCAAGGCCUCAUGGUAUGCCAGCGGCCGAUGUCUGAUUAGCUAGUUGGUGGGGUAAAGGCCUACCAAGGCGACUAUCAGUAUCUGGUCUGAGAGGACGAUCAGCCACACUGGGACUGAGACACGGCCCAGACUCCUACGGGAGGCAGCAGUGGGGAAUUUUGGACAAUGGGCGAAAGCCUGAUCCAGCAAUGCCGCGUGUGUGAAGAAGGCCUUCGGGUUGUAUAGCACUUUUGUCCGGAAAGAAAUGGCUCUGGUUAAUACCUGGGGUCGAUGACGGUACCGGAAGAAUAAGGACCGGCUAACUACGUGCCAGCAGCCGCGGUAAUACGUAGGGUCCAAGCGUUAAUCAGAAUUACUGGGCGUAAAGCGUGCGCAGGCGGUUGUGCAAGACCGAUGUGAAAUCCCCGAGCUUAACUUGGGAAUUGCAUUGGUGACUGCACGGCUAGAGUGUGUCAGGAGGGGGGGUAGAAUUCCACGUGUAGCAGUGAUAUGCGUAGAGAUGUGGAGGAUACCGAUGGCGACGCACCCCCUGGGAUCACACUGACGCUCAUGCACGAGAGCGUGGGGGAGCAAAUCAGGAUUAGAAUCCCCCCGUGUUGUCCCAU